rnacentral:rRNA from 1 species
CCUACGGGAGGGCAGCAGUGGGGAAUAUUGGACAAUGGGCGAAAGCCUGAUCCAGCCAUGCCGCGUGUGUGAAGAAGGCCUUCGGGUUGUAAAGCACUUUCAGUGGGGAAGAAAGCCUUGGGGCUAAUACCCUCGAGGAAGGACAUCACCCACAGAAGAAGCACCGGCUAACUCCGUGCCAGCAGCCGCGGUAAUACGGAGGGUGCGAGCGUUAAUCGGAAUUACUGGGCGUAAAGCGCGCGUAGGCGGUCUGAUAAGCCGGUUGUGAAAGCCCCGGGCUCAACCUGGGAACGGCAUCCGGAACUGUCAGGCUAGAGUGCAGGAGAGGAAGGUAGAAUUCCCGGUGUAGCGGUGAAAUGCGUAGAGAUCGGGAGGAAUACCAGUGGCGAAGGCGGCCUUCUGGACUGACACUGACGCUGAGGUGCGAAAGCGUGGGUAGCAAACAGGAUUAGAUACCCUAGUAGUC